CGCUGUUCCACAGUUGUGUGUACAAACGAGCUCUGGAACUCUGCUGGGACGAAGAUUUCUUUUUCUCUCAGGUCGCACUGAUGGCAGAACUUCUCAAGCUGCAGCAGAAGCAGGAGCUCCCACCUGAGGUGACCGCUGAAGAUCUGACGGACCUUCUGGUGGAGCAAGUCAGCAGGUCAGGGGGAGCGAGGCUGUGGAGGCAGGAACUGAACAUUUAUGAGGACACGGAUAUCUACCACCUUC